rnacentral:rRNA from 1 species
GACGAACGCUGGCGGCGUGCCUAAUACAUGUAAGUAGGACGCAGUUGCGAACGGGUGAGUAACGCGUAGGUCACUGCAUAUUAGAGGGGGAGAACAAUUGGAAACGAUAGCUAAUACCGCAUAUUAGUAGAUUGACCUGCGUUGUAUUAGCUAGUAGGUAGGGUAACGGCCUACCUAGGCGACGCAUCAUAGCCGACUUGAGAUGGGGAUCCGCCACAAUGGGACUUGGAAACGGCCCAGACGCCUACGGGAGGCAUCAGGAGGGAAACUUCGGCAAUGGGGGGAACCCUGACCGCGCAACGCCGCGGGAGGGAAGAAGGUUUUCGGGUCGUAAAGCUCUGUUGUUAAGGAAGCGGUACUUAACCAGAAAGGGACGGCUAACUACGUGCCAGCAGCCGCGGUAAUUC